UACGUAGGGGGCAAGCGUUAUCCGGAUUUACUGGGUGUAAAGGGAGCGUAGACGGUUGUGCAAGUCUGAAGUGAAAGCCCGGGGCUCAACCCCGGGACUGCUUUGGAAACUGUAUAACUGGAGUGCAGGAGAGGUAAGCGGAAUUCCUAGUGUAGCGGUGAAAUGCGUAGAUAUUAGGAGGAACACCAGUGGCGAAGGCGGCUUACUGGACUGUAACUGACGUUGAGGCUCGAAAGCGUGGGGAGCAAACAGG
rnacentral:rRNA from 1 species